CACAGAAAUUUUGGAUUAUCAGUUUUCAUACUUUAUUAUUUAAUUUCCAUUAUUUCAGGAGAAAAAGCCAAAAUGAAGCAAACCUAUUCUUUGGUUUGCAAUAUUGCAGAAAUUUGAAGAUCUGUCAUCACUACCACAGUAACUAAGAAACAAAUAUGACAAGUUCUCCUAAAUUAAGUCAAGAAAGUAAAGCAAAUUUAUGAAAUUUUCAACUGUGAAUAAAACCACAAGAUAAUUCCAUAAGCAGUAUUGCUGCUUCUUCCACAUCCUGUGGAAACACUCGUUGAAGAGCCGAAUUCUUGCUCAAACUUAAUGCAAGAUUCUUGAAGCCGCAAAGCUUUUUUUGGCCCUGAGGUAAAUCAGGAGACUUGCGCAACUUCUUGCCUUGUGCAAUAUGGCCUGUGCGCAACUUCUUUUCCUUGUUGUGCACCUUGGUCUUUGUAGAUAACGUCUCCAUGGCAAUAUCCGUGCUAUUUGCCAUGGCAGCCGCCGCUGCCAUUGCUCGUCUGGCCUUCCUCUGUCGAAUCCCACAGGCAUUGCAAAGAGACUGCAUAAACAUAUUUUUGCCUAGCCUGUUAGUGAUUUAUAUAGAAUAGCUUCCUACACUAUAUAUAAGACAGACAAUCGAUCACUUGACCAUUAUUUUCUAGUAGUGCAUAAUAGAUGUAUCUAUAGAAUUUUAAUGUAAAAGAGAAUCACCUUAGGGCCACGAGGGCCACUUCUCCAAAGAGGGGUACUGGUAGUGUUGCAAUCUGCGCAGACUCUGAUACUGUUGUUAUUGUUAUUGUGACACUGCUGAUCUUGAAACUUUAGUGUAAAUUUCACUGGUUGAUCUGUCCCUGAGAAAUUGGAGUUGGAGUUGAUCAUUUUCUGCAUCAACCUCAUCUUCGAGGGCAUCCGUUUGGCUGCAGAUCCCUCGCCAACACUUCCUUCGUAAUCUCCAUCCUCUCUUUUACUUGAGUACAAUUUGUGGGCCUCGUUACUGCUACUCUCACUUAUCGCCGCAGCUUGAAAUAAUGAAGAUGAAGAAAGGUUUUUGUGAUGAUGAUGAUCACUCCAUCUGCUGUGUGA
rnacentral:misc_RNA from 1 species